AGGAUAGAAGAUCGUACAUCCUUUGCAAAUUUUAUACGAAUGGAUGUAUUGGUAUUUGAAGAACUGCUUUGUUUGGUUUCGCCUCUGAUUCAGAAGAAAGACACGGUGAUGCGUCAGGCAAUUACGGCCCGGGAAAGGCUUGCUGUCACACUGCGUUUCCUAGCGACCGGAAACAUUUACAAACAUUUGGCCUAUUCUACACGAAUAGCGAAAAACACGGCCAUAGCAAGUGUGUUUGGAGAUAAUGCGAUACAGAUGCCAGCGACUCAAGAUGAAUGGUGUGCAACAGAAACUGUGUUUAGCCACUCUACCUGACCCCUAUCA
rnacentral:misc_RNA from 1 species